AGCGAACGCUGGCGGCAGGCCUAACACAUGCAAGUCGAACGAAGUCUUCGGACUUAGUGGCGGACGGGUGAGUAACACGUGGGAACGUGCCUUUAGGUUCGGAAUAACUCAGGGAAACUUGUGCUAAUACCGAAUGUGCCCUUCGGGGGAAAGAUUUAUCGCCUUUAGAGCGGCCCGCGUCUGAUUAGCUAGUUGGUGAGGUAAAGGCUCACCAAGGCUACGAUCAGUAGCUGGUCUGAGAGGGUGACCAGCCACAUUGGGACUGAGACACGGCCCAAACUCCUACGGGAGGCAGCAGUGGGGAAUCUUGCGCAAUGGGCGGAAGCCUGACGCAGCCAUGCCGCGUGGAUGAUGAAGGUCUUAGGAUUGUAAAAUCCUUUCACCGGUGAAGAUAAUGACUGUAGCCGGAGAAGAAGCCCCGGCUAACUUCGUGCCAGCCGCCGCGGUAACAC
rnacentral:rRNA from 1 species